CGGGCGUGCCUAAUACAUGCAAGUCGAACGCUAUUGUGGUUGAAAUGAUAUGAAGAACUUGUUCAGAUUUGAUUUUCAACAUUGCAAUGAGUGGCGAACGGGUGAGUAACACGUGGGAAACCUACCUCUUAGCAGGGGAUAACAUUUGGAAACAAAUGCUAAUACCGUAUAAUAAUUAAAACCGCAUGGUUUUAGUUUAAAGAUGGUCUUGCUAUCACUAAGAGAUGGUCCCGCGGUGUAUUAGUUAGUUGGUGAGGUAAUGGCUCACCAAGACAAUGAUACAUAGCCGAGUUGAGAGACUGACCGGCCACAAUGGGACUGAGACACGGCCCAUACUCCUACGGGAGGCAGCAGUAGGGAAUCUUCCACAAUGGACGAAAGUCUGAUGGAGCAACGCCGCGUGUGUGAUGAAGGGUUUCGGCUCGUAAAACACUGUUGUAAGAGAAGAAUGACAUUGAGAGUAACUGUUCAAUGUGUGACGGUAUCUUACCAGAAAGGAACGGCUAAAUACGUG
rnacentral:rRNA from 1 species